UCGGGCGUGGUGUACGGCGCACGCUCCCUCUUCUUACCAAGGAAUGAAUGCAAGGGAGAGGAUCGGGUUCGAUUCCCGGCGCCCGGA